CUUUGAUGCUACAAUAGAUUACUGUCAGAGGAAAUAUUUGUGCAGAAGCGAUCAUUCAAUAGAGUGUUGGGAUGGCAUGGCAAGGCUUGUAAAAGCUAUAGAAGUCUGCACGUAGUCAAAUUUACUAAUGUUUAUCAGCAAUGAGCCCAGUUAAUAAAUCUCACUGUCAACAAUUCACAAUCCAUAUGGUAAAGACUGAGUUAUUGAUUUUUCUUCUAAAGAGAUCCAAGUUUCUUACUAGUCCAAUUGAAAAAUAUAUAAAAUGCCUGAUAUAUGAGUAGAUUUUCAUUGGAAAAUUUUCAAGUUCUUUCAUAAUCUCAUGAUGUAAUUCACAGCGUCUAGGCUUAAAGUUACAGUUAAGACCCCAUACAUUAUACUAUAAAAUCGAAGAAUGCCAAGCGAAACUGCUACUCAGAAUGGCCAAGAACCUAAUAUUCUAAUACAAUUGCUAGUUCUUGAAAAUCCAUAUCACCAGCAUUAACUUCAAAUUUACUUGUAACCCAAAUUAGCAAAUCUAAGAAACAGCUUAUUUCUAAUGAAGACACGACUAAGUAAAAUAUACAAAAGAAUAAAAUAAAAUAAAAUUCAAAAGCCACUAAGGUUCUAAAUCCUAAUCCCAAAACAAAAAAUUCCAAGAAAUCAUACUCUAAUAGAAAGAAAUAAAAAAUUCUCAGCUGUUAGUCACAACCACACCAAUAGCAUUCAUUGCUCACAGGAAGAAUGAAAAAAUAAAUAAAUAAAAGCUUGAUCACAGAAAUUUCGUUAAUUGGAG
rnacentral:misc_RNA from 1 species